CCUACGGGAGGCUGCAGUCGAGAAUCAUUCACAAUGGGGGAAACCCUGAUGGUGCGACGCCGCGUGGGGGAAUGAAGGUCUUCGGAUUGUAAACCCCUGUCAUGUGGGAGCAAAUGAAAAAGAUAGUACCACAAGAGGAAGAGACGGCUAACUCUGUGCCAGCAGCCGCGGUAAUACAGAGGUCUCAAGCGUUGUUCGGAAUCACUGGGCGUAAAGCGUGGGGAGGCUGUUUCGUAAGUCGGGUGUGAAAGGCGCGGGCUCAACCCGCGGACGGCACAUGAUACUGCGAGGCUAGAGUAAGGGAGGGGGAAGCGGAAUGCUCGGUGUAGCAGUGAAAUGCGUAGAUAUCGAGAGGAACACUCGUGGCGAAGGCGGGUUCCUGGACAUUAACUGACGCUGAGGCACGAAGGCCAGGGGAGCGAAAGGGAUUAGAUACCCGAGUAGUC
rnacentral:rRNA from 1 species